AGUGAACGCUGGCGGUAGGCCUAACACAUGCAAGUCGAACGGCAGCACAGUAAGAGCUUGCUCUUACGGGUGGCGAGUGGCGGACGGGUGAGGAAUACAUCGGAAUCUACUUUUUCGUGGGGGAUAACGUAGGGAAACUUACGCUAAUACCGCAUACGACCUACGGGUGAAAGCAGGGGAUCUUCGGACCUUGCGCGAUUGAAUGAGCCGAUGUCGGAUUAGCUAGUUGGCGGGGUAAAGGCCCACCAAGGCGACGAUCCGUAGCUGGUCUGAGAGGAUGAUCAACAACGGAAGUGAGAAAAGGCCGAGAAGCCUACGGGAGGAAGCAGUGGGGAAUAUUAGUGGACGGGGGGAAGAAUGAUGCAGCAACCACGCCGGGGUGAUGAAGGAGGCCGUCUGGUUAUAAAGCCCUUUUGUUGAAGAAGAAAAGCAGCAGGAUAAUACCCCGUUGUUCUGGCGGUAACCAAAGAAGAAGCGGCGGCUUACGUG
rnacentral:rRNA from 1 species